rnacentral:rRNA from 1 species
GACGAACGCUGGCGGCGUGCCUAACACAUGCAAGUCGAGCGAAUGAAGUUCCUUCGGGGAUGGAUUUAGCGGCGGACGGUGAGUAACACGUGGGCAACCUGCCUCAUAGAGGGGAAUAGCCUUCCGAAAGGGAGAUUAAUACCGCAUAAGAUUGUAGUAUCGCAUGAUACAGCAAUUAAAGGAGCAAUCCGCUAUGAGAUGGGCCCGCGGCGCAUUAGCUAGUUGGUGAGGUAACGGCUCACCAAGGCGACGAUGCGUAGCCGACCUGAGAGGGUGAUCGGCCACAUUGGGACUGAGACACGGCCCAGACUCCUACGGGAGGCAGCAGUGGGAAUAUUGCACAAUGGGGGAAACCCUGAUGCAGC